GUGGGGAAUCUUAGACAAUGGGGGAAACCCUGAUCUAGCCAUGCCGCGUGAGCGAUGAAGGCCUUAGGGUUGUAAAGCUCUUUCAGCUGGGAAGAUAAUGACGGUACCAGCAGAAGAAGCCCCGGCUAACUCCGUGCCAGCAGCCGCGGUAAUACGGAGGGGGCUAGCGUUGUUCGGAAUUACUGGGCGUAAAGCGCACGUAGGCGGAUCAGAAAGUCAGAGGUGAAAUCCCUGGGCUCAACCUUGGAACUGCCUUUGAAACUCCUGGUCUUGAGGUCGAGAGAGGUGAGUGGAAUUCCGAGUGUAGAGGUGAAAUUCGUAGAUAUUCGGAGGAACACCAGUGGCGAAGGCGGCUCACUGGCUCGAUACUGACGCUGAGGUGCGAAAGCGUGGGGAGCAAACAGGAUUAGAUACCCUAGUAGUCC
rnacentral:rRNA from 1 species